rnacentral:rRNA from 1 species
CAGCAGCCGCGGGAAUACGUAGGUGGCAAGCGUUGUCCGGAAUUAUUGGGCGUAAAGGGCUCGCAGGCGGUUUCUUAAGUCUGAUGUGAAAGCCCCCGGCUCAACCGGGGAGGGUCAUUGGAAACUGGGAAACUUGAGUGCAGAAGAGGAGAGUGGAAUUCCACGUGUAGCGGUGAAAUGCGUAGAGAUGUGGAGGAACACCAGUGGCGAAGGCGACUCUCUGGUCUGUAACUGACGCUGAGGAGCGAAAGCGUGGGAGCGAACAGGAUUAGAUACCCCUGUAGUCCUGUCUCUUAUACAC